rnacentral:rRNA from 1 species
GACGAACGCUGGCGGCGCGUCUUAAACAUGCAAGUCGAACGGGAUCCCUGAUGCUUGCAUUAGGGUGAGAGUGGCGAACGGGUGAGUAACACGUGGAUAAUUUACCCUCAGGUUGGGGAUAACUCCGGGAAACUGGGGCUAAUACCGAAUAAGAUGGUAGGAACAUAGGUUCCAGCCAUUAAAGAUGGGGACCGCAAGGCCUAUCGCCAGAGGAAAAGUCCGCGGCCCAUUAGCUUGUUGGUAGGGUAAUGGCCUACCAAGGCUACGAUGGGUAGCCGGCCUGAGAGGGUGAACGGCCACAUUGGGACUGAGACACGGCCCAGACUCCUACGGGAGGCAGCAGUUAAGAAUCUUGCGCAAUGGGCGCAAGCCUGACGCAGCGACGCCGCGUGAAGGAUGAAGGCCUUCGGGUCGUAAACUUCGAUAAGCAGGGAAGAAUAAGUUAUGGCUAAUAUCCAUAGCGAUGACGGUACCUGCCUAAAGCCCCGGCUAACUACGUGCCAGCAGCCGCGGUAAUACGUAUGGGGCGAGCGUUGUUCGGAUUUAUUGGGCGUAAAGGGCGUGUAGGCGGCUGGAUAAGUCAGAUGUGAAAUCCCUGGGCUUAACCCA